UCCAUCCCUUCAUUCAAAUUCAACACCCAACGAGUUCACCAAAACCAAGAAAACAAAAAAAGGGGUAUUUAUUUUAUUUUUUGAAUUAUAUAUUUAAUCAUUUUUUAUAUAAAUAGGAAAAUAAUGAAGCCGCCGAAAAGCAGCAACGCCGCCGCCGUCAUGUGCCUCCUCAUCAUAUGCCUCUUCCUCGCCGUAAAAGGAAAGUCGGAGAAAAAGGAAAUUGUGGAAGUGUACGAGAUUGAUUAUAGAGGACCGGAGACGCAUAACUCGAGACCUUCGCCGGAAAAUAUUCACGGCAAACCUCCCUCCAUCCACCACCACACCUCCUCCGCCGCCCAUCUCUCCCACUCCGCCGGAGGAACGAAUUAGAGGGAUUUUGAAGAAGAAGAAGAGAGAGAAGGUUAUAAUUGAUGAAAGAGAGGCGCAGUUUGUUGUUCUGUGGGUUAUGAAAUUGCUCCAUUGUCAUGUGUCAUGUCCGGGCCUCUCUCUCUCUCUAUAUAUAUAUAUACAUGUGUAUAUGUGUGUUAUGACAUGUCGUGAAGAAAUGAAAUGAUGAGACAAUAUAUACGUUAUUAUA